rnacentral:tRNA from 1 species
AAAUAGGUAAGCUAAACAAUUAAGCUACCAGGUUCAUACCCUGUUUAUAGAAAAAUUUUCUCCUAUUUA